rnacentral:rRNA from 1 species
ACAGUGGAGGUCCUAACCCACCGCCGUUGAAAAGUUGGGGGAUGAGGUAGGUUUAGGGGUGAAAAGCCAAUCGAAACCGGGAGAUAGCUCGUUCUCCGAAAUGCAUCUAGGUGCAGCCUUGCGUGUUUAAUGAUGGGGUAGAGCACUGACUGAACUAGGGGGCAUAUAGCUUACUGAAUUCAAUCAAACUCCGAAACCAUUAUUCAAGAGCGCAGGAGUGAGACCAUGGGAGUUAACUUCCAUCGUCGAAAGGGAAACAACCCAGACCACCAGCUAAGGUCCCAAAUCAUAUCUAAGUGGGAAAGGAGGUGGAGAUUCUUAAACAACUAGGAGGUUGGCUUAGAAGCAGCCAUUCCUUGAAAGAGUGCGUAAUAGCUCACUAGUCGAGAGUCUCUGCGCCGACAAUGUAACGGGCUAAGAUAUGAACCGAAGCUGUGGAUGUCGUAAGACAUGGUAGGAGAGCGUUCUGUAGGCCGUCGAAGGAGGACUGAAAGGAACUCUGGAGGUAUCAGAAGUGAGAAUGCAGGAAUAAGUAGCGAGAAGGGGAGUGAGAAUCUCCCCGCUGGAAGACCAAGGUUUUCAGGGUAAAGCUUGUCUUCCCUGAGUAAGCCGGGACCUAAGCCCAGGCUAGAAUGCGUAGGCGAAUGGAAAACAGAUGAAUAUUUCUGUGCCAGUUCUACUUUGUGAAGGAGGGACGCAGAAGGGUAUGCGCGCAGACGAACGGAAGAGUCUGUAGAAGCAUGUAGAGUGACUUGGUAGGCAAAUCCGCCAGGUUAGACUUAAGGUGUGACAUAUACUCGCAAGAGGAAUGCGCAAAUCCCACGCUGCCGAGAAAAGCUUCUAGCGGUAAAGUAGAGACUGCCCGUACUGGAAACCGACACAGGUGGUCAGGAUGAGAAAUCUAAAGCGGACAGGCUAACUCUCGUUAAGGAACUCUGCAAAAUGGCCCCGUAACUUCGGAGAAGGGGUGCCUUUAGGCGUGAGUAUACAAGCGAUACAAAGCGCUUUGAGGUCGCAGUGAAGAGGCUCAAGCAACUGUUUAAACAAAAACACAGGUCUAUGCGAAGCUGUAAGGCGAAGUAUAUGGGCUGACACCUGCCCAGUGCCGGAAGGUUAAGAGGAGGAGUGAGAGCUCCGAAUUGAAGCCCCGGUGAACGGCGGCCGUAACUAUAACGGUCCUAAGGUAGCGAAAUUCCUUGUCGGGUAAGUUCCGACCUGCACGAAUGGUGUAAUGAUUUGAGCGCUGUCUUGACGGGAGGCCUGGUGAAAUUGUAUUACCGUGAAGAUACCGGUUACCUACAGUAGGACGGAAAGACCCAUGGAGCUUUACUGUAGCUUGGUAUUGGGUUUUGGCAUGGCAUGUAUAGGAUAGUUGGGAGACUGGGAAGGUAUGGCGCUAGCUGUACCGGAGUCAUCGGUGGAAUACCAACCAUUCCCUGCUGAAAUUCUAAUCUGUACUUUGGAGGUACGGAGACAGUGCUAGGUGGGCAGUUUGACUGGGGCGGUCGCCUCCGAAGAGUAACGGAGGCGUUCAAGGUUCUCUCAGGUUGGAUGGAAAUCAACCGCAGAGUGCAAUGGCAAAAGAGAGCUUGACUGCAAGACUGACGGGUCGAGCAGAUGCGAAAGCAGGACAUAGUGAUCCGGCGAUUCCGUAUGGAAGGGUCGUCGCUCAACGGAUAAAAGCUACCCUGGGGAUAACAGGCUGAUCCUACCCGAGAGUCCAUAUCGACGGUAGGGUUUGGCACCUCGAUGUCGGCUCAUCGCAUCCUGGGCUGGAGAAGGUCCCAAGGGUUGGGCUGUUCGCCCAUUAAGCGGUACGUGAGCUGGGUUCAGAACGUCGUGAGACAGUUCGGUCCCUAUCCACUGUAGGCGCAAGAAUAUUGAGAAGAUCUGUCCUUAGUACGAGAGGACCGGGAUGGACAAACCUCUGAUGUACCAGUUGUCACGCCAGUGGCAUAGCUGGGUAGUCACGUUUGGCAUAGAUAACCGCUGAAAGCAUCUAAGCGGGAAACUAGCUUCAAGAUAAGUAUUCUAAGAGGAAGCUUCGAGAACAGGAGCUAGAUAGGUUGGGGGUGUACGCGCAGUAAUGUGUUUAGCUGACCAAUACUAAUCGAACGAAAUUUAAUCAG